rnacentral:rRNA from 1 species
UGGCGGACGGGUGAGGAAUACAUCGGAAUCUACUCUGUCGGUGGGGGAUAACGUAGGGAAACUUACGCUAAUACCGCAUACGACCUACGGGUGAAAGCAGGGGAUCUUCGGACCUUGCGCGAUUGAAUGAGCCGAUGUCGGAUUAGCUAGUUGGCGGGGUAAAGGCCCACCAAGGCGACGAUCCGUAGCUGGUCUGAGAGGAUGAUCAGCCACACUGGAACUGAGACACGGUCCAGACUCCUACGGGAGGCAGCAGAC